GACGAACGUUGGCGGUAUGUCUAAGGCAUGCAAGUCGAAGGAUCGGCCCACUUUUACUUCGGUAAUAUCGGGUACGGACUGGCAAACGGGAGAGUAACACAUUGGUAACCUACCUCUGAGACGGGCAUAGCCCAGAGAAAUCUGGAUUAACACCCGAUAGUCAUGGAGUGACAUAAGUCAUCUCAUGUAAAUAAUUUAUUGCUCAGAGAGGGGCCUAUGGCUGAUUAGCUUGUUGGUGAGGUAAAAGCUCACCAAGGCAGUGAUCAGUAUCAGGCGUGAGAGCGUGACCCGACCCACUGGAACUGAGACACGGUCCAG
rnacentral:rRNA from 1 species